rnacentral:lncRNA from 1 species
UAAUUAAGCAUUGUGAUGGAUGGGGUGUUACCCGACAUGCAUGCGCGCCACAUAGCGGUCAUGCACAGUUGACUAAGUAGAAAUGACAGACGGACAGGACAGGACGUCCUUCAAGCAAUCAACAAGUGACCAUAGGCAUGCGAAGCCGUGCGGUGUAGGUUGAUAGGAUAGCCUGCAAAAUGCGCAGACACAUAUUGACACUCUCAGACGCCCUGAUGCUACAGCCUGCACAGCAAACACGCAGUCCCAGGACAUUCUCGCGGGCCGUUCCCACGAGAUUUGCAGGUUUU